GCCUGGGUGGCUCAGUCGGUUAAGCUUCUGACUUCAGCUCAGGUCACGAUCUCGCGGUCCGCGAGUUCGAGCCCCGCGUCGGGCU
rnacentral:tRNA from 1 species